CCUGCUCCUGCAUCAUGAGACAGACACAGUAGGACUGAUCUGUCUUUAGUAGUCACUCCAAAUUUGUUUUGUACAUGACAAUACUCUGUAGUUACUGCAGCAGAACAUUGCAUGAAGAUGAUAUAAAUAUUGCAAUACCAUAUCAAAGCAUUUUGACUUGGCUGUUUUGUCUGGUUGGAUAACUGAAUCUCCCUUCCUUUUCUCUAAAUUGUGGACAUUCCUCCCUAAAGUGUCAUCAUUUCUGCUCCCACAGUCAACCCAGUGUCGACCCACCCACAUUACAUAUGUUUACACAGAACAAACCUUCUCUGGUUCAAUUCAUCUCCUGGAGACAUGUAACAAGAGGAACCGUGCAGCUCUUAGUUCAUGGGAUUCCCCACUUGCUCAAUAGUUUCAAGUGUAACUCCCCAAAUCGUGCAGCUUUAAGGUCUAUUGCUGGGCGCUUAUUUCUUUGUAUCAAGGCAAGUCACUGCAAUGCUUCCUAGCGCGUGUUUGGCUGCAAUCUGGAAACGUCUCUGCUUCACUGGGCUACUUUAUCUGUAUUCAUCAUUGUUUCAAAGUCUUUUUUCUCUUUGUUUAUUGAUCCCAUUAGCAUAUUUUUACAGCUGAAAACCAUCAAACAAUUACUGUGU